rnacentral:rRNA from 1 species
AGAGUUUGAUCAUGGCUCAGAUUGAACGCUGGCGGCAUGCCUUACACAUGCAAGUCGAACGGUAACAGGUCUUUCGGGAUGCUGACGAGUGGCGAACGGGUGAGUAAUACAUCGGAACGUGCCUAGUAGUGUGGGAUAACUACUCGAAAGAGUGGCUAAUACCUCAUGAGAUCUAUGGAUGAAAGCAGGGGACCUUCGGGCCUUGUGCUACUAGAGCGGCCGAUGGCAGACUAGGUAGUUGGUGGGAUAAAAGCUUACCAAGCCUACGAUCUGUAGCUGGUCUGAGAGGACGAUCAGCCACACUGGGACUGAGACACGGCCCAGACUCCUACGGGAGGCAGCAGUGGGGAAUUUUGGACAAUGGGCGCAAGCCUGAUCCAGCAAUGCCGCGUGCAGGAUGAAGGCCUUCGGGUUGUAAACUGCUUUUGUACGGAACGAAAAGUCUUGGGUUAAUACCCUGGGAUCAUGACGGUACCGUAAGAAUAAGCACCGGCUAACUACGCGCCAGCAGCCGCGGUAAUACGUAGGGUGCAAGCGUUAAUCGGAAUUACUGGGCGUAAAGCGUGCGCAGGCGGUUUUGUAAGACAGUGGUGAAAUCCCCGGGCUCAACCUGGGAACUGCCAUUGUGACUGCAAGGCUGGAGUGCGGCAGAGGGGGAUGGAAUUCCGCGUGUAGCAGUGAAAUGCGUAGAUAUGCGGAGGAACACCGAUGGCGAAGGCAAUCCCCUGGGCCUGCACUGACGCUCAUGCA